rnacentral:rRNA from 1 species
UGCGUAGGCGGUCCCGCAAGUCCGCUGUGAAAGCCCCGGGCUUAACCUGGGAAUGGCAGUGGAAACUAGGGGACUUGAAUCUGGCAGAGGGGGGUGGAAUGCCACGUGUAGCAGUGAAAUGCGUAGAUAUGUGGCGGAACACCGAUGGCGAAGGCAGCCCCCUGGGCUGAGAUUGACGCUCAGGCACGAAAGCGUGGGGAGCAAACAGGAUUAGAUACCCUGGUAGUCCACGCCCUAAACGAUGAUCACUAGGUGUUGGGGAAGCGAUUUCUCGGUACCGCAGCUAACGCGUGAAGUGAUCCGCCUGGGGAGUACGGUCGCAAGAUUAAA